AUUAAGAAAACAGAUUUGAAUUAAAUUGGACGGAGUCACGGGUUUUAAACUAGCAUCAAACGUUCCUAAGGUCAUUAAGUAAACAGAUUUGAAUGAAACUGGAUGGAGUCACAGACUUCAAACUACAGUCAAACGAUCCUAAGGUAACCUGAUGAUUUUUAAUAUUGAUCAAGUUCUGUAAGUUUCGUAGACAUCUCAAGUGUGUUGCUACAUUUCACUCACACUUGAUAACCUCUACUCUUCGUAGAAUGUCUUCACCAUACUGCAUAUAAAAAUAUUUCAAUGUAAAGCUUAAGAUUAGUGUUAUUCUGUAUUUGUUGUGUUGUCAACCAAUCAAUUUAUUAAGAAAACACAUUUUCUUGACGCUGGAAUGAGUCUCAGAUGUCGUAAUUCUUUGCAACGUUCCUAAGGUAAGCUGGUGAGUUUUUCUUUUGAUCAAGGCCCAGAUGUUUGGGUAGACACUUCAAGUGUUCUGCUACAUUUUGCUAACACUUGAUGACGUCUACUCAUAGUAGCAUGUCUUCACCAUACUCCAGUGUAAAAAGCUGUCCAUUUAAAGAUUAAGGUUGCUGUUAUUCUGUAUUUUUUGUGUUGUCAAAUAAUCAAUUUAUUAAGUAAACAGAUCUUAUUGAUACUGGAGGGUGUCACAGAUGUCCAAAUAGCCUACUUUCUAACGUUCCUAAGGUAAGCUGGUGAAUUUUUCUUUUGAUCAAGGCCAAGAGGUUUGGGUAGACACUUCAAGUGUACUGCAACACUUGACAACGUCUACUCAUAGUACCAUGUCUUCACCAUGCCCCAUGUAAAAAAAUGUCGAUUUUAGGAUAACGGUUGUUUUUUCCCUGUGUUUCUCAUGUUGUCAUCUAAUCGUGUCAUUAAGAAAACAGAUUUGAAUGAAACUGGAUGGAGUCACAGACUUCAAACUACAAUCAAACGUCCUAAGGUAACCUGAUGAUUUUUAAUAUUGAUCAAGACCUAGAAGUUUGGUAGACAUCUCAAGUAUGUUGCUACAUUUCACUCACACUUGAUGACGUCUACUCAUGGUAGCAUGUCUUCACCAUACCGCAUGCAAAAUAAAUGUCUAUUUGAGGAGAAAA